GGAUUUGAUUGUCUUGUAGUCUUGUGCGGGGAAAACUCUAUGCACACAAAUCUAUUUUUGCAUGCCUCCUUGCAGAUGUGGCUGUUCAUAACAGGCUAUCACCCUUGCCAUCGCACUCAUUUCUAAACUAUAACCUAUUCUUCACUGGAUUUGGCGGCAGCCAACCAUGCACAGCCAUGUCUCCACGUAAUUUCGCAUGCAUGAACCAUCCCUUGCAAGAGCUACGACAUUCUCCCUUAUAGAGAAUUGGGUAAGCUACAGAAUGGAAGAGUCCCGUUCCAUGACCACUAGUAUUACAUUUUGACUGAAAACUUUGGGGACAAUUGAAAUACUAUGCACAUCAACAAGGCAUUUGGUAUGGAAUGAUUAAUCCAAGAUCAACAAUAAUGUUGGUGGAAGUGAUGAGACCAUCGCAUUUAAUUACGUCAUAAUAAUUCUACAUGAUAGUGAUUCAAUGUUAGAAAUAUAUAUGAUGAAUUUCAUUUCUCAUGAGAGUCGAUUGCAUUCUAAUUGGGCUAACAAUUAAAUGUUAUUAUAAAAUUAAUAUUAAAAUUAAUCUAAAAACUUACAAAUGAAGGUAUAUAGUGUACUAUCCUAUAGUGAUUUUCAACUCAUACAGAAUUAGACUCGAGGACUCCGUCUCAAGAUACAACUGGUAAUCUUUUCUAUAGGUACGAUCGUGGAGAGGAUGACAGAGCUUCAAUCCAGCAGAUCAAUGAUCAAAAAAAUAGAUUAAAAAAAAUAUUGAAAGGGGAUUGGAAGAAGAAGAUUUAGAAUAGAGGAAAAUCUUAGAUCAGA
rnacentral:lncRNA from 1 species